rnacentral:rRNA from 1 species
UACAGAGGGUGCAAGCGUUGUUCGGAAUUACUGGGCGUAAAGCGUGCGUAGACGGUUACAUAAGUCGGGUGUGAAAGCCCCGGGCUCAACCUGGGAAUUGCAUUCGAGACUGCGUAGCUAGGGUGCGGAAGAGGGAAGCGGAAUUUCCGGUGUAGCGGUGAAAUGCGUAGAUAUCGGAAGGAACACCAGUGGCGAAAGCGGCUUCCUGGUCCAGCACCGACGUUCAGGCACGAAAGCGUGGGGAGCAAACAGG